GCCGCCGUAGCUCAGCGCGGUCAGAGCGCCGGACUCAUAAUCCGGUGGUCCCGGGUUCAAGUCCCGGCGGCGGCACCA
rnacentral:ncRNA from 21 species